GAUAUUAUGACAUUUUUUUUGUUAAAAUGUACUUUUUUUAUACUGAAUUGUGAAAUUUUUGAAAAACUAUGUUAUAACAUUUUUAAUCAUACUAUAGUGACUUUUUUAAAUGCUAAAAUAUGAUAUUUUUUUCACGCUUUAAUAUGAAUUUUUCUUUCAUACUACAAUGUGAAACAAAUAUAUAUUAUAAUAAUAUUCUAUGACAUUGUUUUUCAAAUUGAAAUAUAACAUAUUUGGUAUAAUGUACUAUGUUAUAUUUAUUCAUUUUUAAAUAAAUUCUAUGACAUUUUUACUACACUAUAUUAACACAUUAUAUCAUACCAUAUUAUGAAAUUUUUUAUGGUAAAAUGUAAUUUUCUUCAUAUUUAAAUAUAAAAUUAAUAUUUAAAAUGGAUUUAAAUUAUAUUUAUAAAAUAUAAAUUAUAUUAAAAUUAUAUUUAAUUUUUUUUUUUAAUAUAUUAUAUAAUUUUUUAGUUAUAUUUUAAUAUUUAUUUAAAAUAAAAUAUUAUACUAUGACAAUUUUUAUACCAAAAUUUGAAAUUUUUAUUGUUCUAUACUAUGACCUUUUUCAUCAUACUUUAGUAUGACAUUUUUUAACAUACCCUCCAAUUAAUUUUUUUUUAAUUUAAAUUUGAAAUUUUUUAUCAUACUAUACUGUGACAUUUUACUCAUACUAUACUAUGACCAUUUUAUCAUACAAUACUAUGAAUUUUUAUAAUACUAUACAAUGAUAUUUUUGUGACUGGCAGUAUGACAGAGCGGUGGUAUGUUUGGGAUGCAGUCCACAGAGAUUGCGACAUGGCACGGCUGGGGCCCAUUGGUUCCUGCAGGGUGCUAGUUUUUAUUUAUCUAAAAGUUCCCCCCAGAGUACACUGUGAACAUUUUAUUGCGUAAUCUGUUUUCUAGCUGUAUGACUUAAACCCCGUCAGCUAAACUUCAGCCUGCAGGCUUUACACUCUCUCUGCUAUGAUCCAGCUCUCUUGGUUUUUUAUUGCUCUGUUGUUUAGGCUCACAGUUUUCUCCUGUGAUAAUCUACAGUAUAUGACUGUAUUCAAUCUUGUUACUGUUACUGAACAAUAGUGUAAAGAUCGUGAGCAUUUAAUGCUGUUGGAGGAAAAGUAUUUCACAUACUUGAUGCCCUGAAGGAUUUUAUUCUAACUGAUCAGUAUGGCUCUGAAACCAAAGUAGGGUCCUAGGGGUUAAGUAGGAGUUAAUGUUCACUUUCACUUUGCAAUUCUACAACAACGUUCUGAUUGUAAAACAGGGAUCCUACUGAAAUAUCAAACUGUUUAAAGGGUUGUCUGUUUUUUUCUUUUUUCUUUCUACGAAAAGUCACGAGCAAAACAUAUUUAAAAAGACUGAUUUAGAUUUUAAACAUAAAGAGACUCAGGGUGCAAUCUCAGAUUCCUGAAUUAGUGAGCAGGGCAAACUAAAAGUCUGAACUCACUGCCACCAUCCUCAAAGUUAGCUGCCAAUGACAGCUCUGCUUAAAAUUGACAGCAUAUAAACAAAAUUCUGACACAACAAGGACUCAGAGAUCUUCAUGGAUGAUGUGAGAGGGAAAAAAAACUGCAAAAAGAAAAGAAAGCGGAGAACAUUAGAUCACAAUUUUUAAAAAAGAAAUUUUUUUCUGAUCUAAAAUAAAAGCCGUUAUUCAUCCAUGAUUAUGAUUUUCUUUUUCUAACUUUUGGAGAAUAUAACAGGAUAGAAAAGGAUGCGGUCACUGUUUUGAGUAUUUGCUAAGAGUACAUGUGCCUCUGUAGAAGAAAAAUGAGAAAAUACCUUAUUGAUACUGAGGAUUAAAAGGGGAGGAUCAGUGCUAAAGGGCACAUUGGCAGGGCCCAGUCCAGUUUUCACUUGUUGGUCCACAGCUACUGCUUCUCCCAAUAACAACAACAAUACUAUUCUCUAGUUUUAUGCCUUUUGUAGAUAAAUAACAGAAAAUAAUUCAUUAUAAUGAUAAAUAUGCUGAAUAAAACUGCUGCGUACGUCUUUGAAGUUGCCUUCAUCUUUAUUUUAUACACUUCUUUAAUGUUUGCUUCUCUCACAGAGAACAUUAAAACUCUGAUGUAUUUAUUUGCAAAUUCCCUCAUAAUAUACAGUUCACUUUUUAAUGUCAAUUUGAAUUAAUCGCAAUAACUAUCUUGUUAAAUUAACAAACUGAUUUGUAAUUAUUUGUAAGAUUUCCCAGGUCUGUUAUAAUCUGGCAGCUCCAGUAACUUAAUUUCCAGAUGACAUUCAGAAAGUCAACAGGAGCGUUUUAAUAUUUUACAUGUUUCCAGCGAUCAGAUGUGAAGCACUUCUCUCCAAAGCUCUCCUACUUUCCUUCCCUGACAGAGUAAUUAAUUAAGCUUUGAGUCAAAUUGUAAUUCUGACUCUGCCAAAAACUGACAAUCACCUCCGUAACCCCUCCACCUCUGAUCUCCACCCGCCUCUCUCCUGCUCGGCCACGCUCAGUGGAGGAGCAGAUUGAGUGGGAGCCGGUGUUAAUAUAAUCUCCUCUGUCUAAUUAGAGGGAGCGUGGUGGGCAGCUAAAGCAAACCACAUUACCCACCAUCUGCCGGGGAGCCGCUCUGCUCUUACCCACCCUCUCACAAUCAUUAGCCUCUACAAGACAAGACACAAACACAUACAUGACAGCUAUUUAUUCAUCCUGCCACUUCCAAUACAGACACCACUGUGUACUGGUUACAGCGACAACGAGGCCACGCUCAUGCUCAGACCUGUCAUAAAUGUUGCCUGUCGUGUUACAGCAGGCUACGACAAACAAAUUAAAAUAGUUGUCAAAAGAUUAGACAAUUAAAACUGCUAUGAAAACGGUAUGAUGUGGGUGCUCUUUAAAACUGUUAUUCCUGAUACUUCAGGGACAGACGGACUGCAUGGGAGGAAAAAGCACGACUAAGUAUUCAGGGAUUUUAUUGUAAAAACUACAAGAACAAACAAGAUUUAUACUAUUUUAUAUUAUGAGGGUUUUGCUUUGGGUUGUAUGCAACCAUAUUUUUAUUUCUGCUCUUUUCUAAAGAGUUUAUUCACAGUGAAGCUGCUCACAAUAAAGCUUUCAGCUAGACUGAAAUAAAAACCUGAUAACUAUUUAAGCCUUUAGACCAUCAGUGAGAAGCUUUAUCAUUUCUAUACUCUAAAUUAAGAAAUUAUUCACAAAAUAAAAUGUCUGUUCAAAAUCCUCCAGAAAAAAGAUCCUUAAAGGGAUAUUCCAGCGUAACAUUAAGUCAGGGUCAAACAUAUCUUGAGCUGCGUCACCCCGCUGCAGUCGAUGGACUCGCCCAGAGGUCUCCGUACAAACAACUGCUGGAAGAGAGUGAGUGAGUUGUGUUUAGUCUCUUUGCCAAGAAAAUAAGGCAAAGUUAAAAAGAUGUUUGGUGGCUAGUUUUAUGGCUUGGACCCUAUAUGUACUGUUGAUGAAGUUAGGUGCUGUUCUGAGCAUUAUUUGUGGCUAUAGAGCAGCUUUUUAUGUUGAGUGCGAGGCUCUCUGUACUGCUAUCUGCGGCCGUUACUAGAGUUGGUAUAAGUAGAGAAGCGAGCGGUCUGUAACAUUUAUCUCUCGACAGGCUGUUACGGUGUGUUUGACCCUAACUUAAUUUUAUGCCAGAAUAUCCCUUUAAGGUUGGAGCUAGGGUUAGGGUUAGGUGUGGGGUUGGAGCUAGGGUUAGGGUUAGGGUUAGGGUUAGGGUUGGAGUUAGGGUUAGUGUUGGAGCUAGGGUUAGGGUUGGGCUUGGAGCUAGGAUUUUUCUGAGUGCAAUGAACCAACUCCCGAGUCUCUAGGACGUUCCUAAAAAAAUUUGAUUUUUUCCCAUAGGAAUGCAUGGGUUAGGGUUAGGGUUAGGGUUGGAGCUAGGGUUAGGGUUAGGGUUAGGGUUGGAGUUAGGGUUAGUGUUGGAGCUAGGGUUAGGGUUGGGCUUGGAGCUAGGAUUUUUCUGAGUGCAAUGAACCAACUCCCGAGUCUCUAGGACGUUCCUAAAAAAAUUUGAUUUUUUCCCAUAGGAAUGCAUGGGUUAGGGUUAGGGUUAGGGUUGGAGCUAGGGUUAGGGUUAGGGUUAGGGUUGGAGUUAGGGUUAGUGUUGGAGCUAGGGUUAGGGUUGGGCUUGGAGCUAGGAUUUUUCUGAGUGCAAUGAACCAACUCCCGAGUCUCUAGGACGUUCCUAAAAAAAUUUGAUUUUUUUCCCAUAGGAAUGCAUGGGUUAGGGUUAGGGUUAGGGUUGGAGCUAGGGUUAGGGUUAGGGUUAGGGUUGGAGUUAGGGUUAGUGUUGGAGCUAGGGUUAGGGUUGGGCUUGGAGCUAGGAUUUUCUGAGUGCAAUGAACCAACUCCCGAGUCUCUAGGACGUUCCUAAAAAAAUUUGAUUUUUUCCCAUAGGAAUGCAUGGGUUAGGGUUAGGGUUAGGGUUGGAGCUAGGGUUAGGGUUAGGGUUAGGGUUGGAGUUAGGGUUAGUGUUGGAGCUAGGGUUAGGGUUGGGCUUGGAGCUAGGAUUUUUCUGAGUGCAAUGAACCAACUCCCGAGUCUCUAGGACGUUCCUAAAAAAAUUUGAUUUUUUCCCAUAGGAAUGCAUGGGUUAGGGUUAGGGUUAGGGUUGGAGCUAGGGUUAGGGUUAGGGUUAGGGUUGGAGUUAGGGUUAGUGUUGGAGCUAGGGUUAGGGUUGGGCUUGGAGCUAGGAUUUUUCUGAGUGCAAUGAACCAACUCCCGAGUCUCUAGGACGUUCCUAAAAAAAUUUGAUUUUUUCCCAUAGGAAUGCAUGGGUUAGGGUUAGGGUUAGGGUUAGGGUUGGAGUUAGGGUUAGUGUUGGAGCUAGGGUUAGGGUUGGGCUUGGAGCUAGGAUUUUUCUGAGUGCAAUGAUCCAACUCCCGAGUCUCUAGGACGUUCCUAAAAAAAUUUGAUUUUUUCCCAUAGGAAUGCAUGGGUUAGGGUUAGGGUUAGGGUUGGCGCUAGGGUUAGGGUUAGGGUUAGGGUUGGAGUUAGGGUUAGUGUUGGAGCUAGGGUUAGGGUUGGGCUUGGAGCUAGGAUUUUUCUGAGUGCAAUGAACCAACUCCCGAGUCUCUAGGAUGUUCCUAAAAAAAUUUGAUUUUUUCCCAUAGGAAUGCAUGGGUUAGGGUUAGGGUUAGGGUUGGAGCUAGGGUUAGGGUUAGGGUUAGGGUUGGAGUUAGGGUUAGUGUUGGAGCUAGGGUUAGGGUUGGGCUUGGAGCUAGGAUUUUUCUGAGUGCAAUGAACCAACUCCCGAGUCUCUAGGACGUUCCUAAAAAAAUUUGAUUUUUUCCCAUAGGAAUGCAUGGGUUAGGGUUAGGGUUAGGGUUGGAGCUAGGGUUAGGGUUAGGGUUAGGGUUGGAGUUAGGGUUAGUGUUGGAGCUAGGGUUAGGGUUGGGCUUGGAGCUAGGAUUUUUCUGAGUGCAAUGAACCAACUCCCGAGUCUCUAGGACGUUCCUAAAAAAAUUUGAUUUUUUCCCAUAGGAAUGCAUGGGUUAGGGUUAGGGUUAGGGUUGGAGCUAGGGUUAGGGUUAGGGUUAGGGUUGGAGUUAGGGUUAGUGUUGGAGCUAGGGUUAGGGUUGGGCUUGGAGCUAGGAUUUUUCUGAGUGCAAUGAACCAACUCCCGAGUCUCUAGGACGUUCCUAAAAAAUUUUGAUUUUUUUCCCAUAGGAAUGCAUGGGUUAGGGUUAGGGUUGGAGCCAGGGUUAGGGUUAGGGUUAGGGUUGGAGUUAGGGUUAGUGUUGGAGUUCGGGUUAGGGUUGGGCUUGGAGCUAGGAUUUUUCUGAGUGCAAUGAACCAACUCCCGAGUCUCUAGGACGUUCCUAAAAAAAUUUGAUUUUUUCCCAUAGGAAUGCAUGGGUUAGGGUUAGGGUUAGGGUUGGAGCUAGGGUUAGGGUUAGGGUUAGGGUUGGAGCUAGGGUUAGGGUUAGGGUUAGGAUUAGGGUGGAGCUAGGGUUAGGGUUAGGGUUAGAGCUAGGGUUAGGGUUGGGGCUAGGGUUAGGGUUAGGGUUAGGGUUAAGGUUGGAGCUAGGGUUAGGGUUAGGGUUGGAGCCAGGGUUAGGGUUAGGGUUAGGGUUGGAGUUAGGGUUAGUGUUGGAGCUAGGGUUAGGGUUGGGCUUGGAGCUAGGAUUUUUCUGAGUGCAAUGAACCAACUCCCGAGUCUCUAGGACGUUCCUAAAAAAAUUUGAUUUUUUCCCAUAGGAAUGCAUGGGUUAGGGUUAGGGUUAGGGUUGGAGCUAGGGUUAGGGUUAGGGUUAGGGUUGGAGUUAGGGUUAGUGUUGGAGCUAGGGUUAGGGUUGGGCUUGGAGCUAGGAUUUUUCUGAGUGCAAUGAACCAACUCCCGAGUCUCUAGGACGUUCCUAAAAAAAUUUGAUUUUUUCCCAUAGGAAUGCAUGGGUUAGGGUUAGGGUUAGGGUUGGAGCUAGGGUUAGGGUUAGGGUUAGGGUUGGAGUUAGGGUUAGUGUUGGAGCUAGGGUUAGGGUUGGGCUUGGAGCUAGGAUUUUUCUGAGUGCAAUGAACCAACUCCCGAGUCUCUAGGACGUUCCUAAAAAAUUUGAUUUUUUCCCAUAGGAAUGCAUGGGUUAGGGUUAGGGUUAGGGUUGGAGCUAGGGUUAGGGUUAGGGUUAGGGUUGGAGUUAGGGUUAGUGUUGGAGCUAGGGUUAGGGUUGGGCUUGGAGCUAGGAUUUUUCUGAGUGCAAUGAACCAACUCCCGAGUCUCUAGGACGUUCCUAAAAAAUUUUGAUUUUUUCCCAUAGGAAUGCAUGGGUUAGGGUUAGGGUUGGAGCCAGGGUUAGGGUUAGGGUUAGGGUUGGAGUUAGGGUUAGUGUUGGAGUUCGGGUUAGGGUUGGGCUUGGAGCUAGGAUUUUUCUGAGUGCAAUGAACCAACUCCCGAGUCUCUAGGACGUUCCUAAAAAAAUUUGAUUUUUUCCCAUAGGAAUGCAUGGGUUAGGGUUAGGGUUAGGGUUGGAGCUAGGGUUAGGGUUAGGGUUAGGGUUGGAGCUAGGGUUAGGGUUAGGGUUAGGAUUAGGGUGGAGCUAGGGUUAGGGUUAGGGUUAGAGCUAGGGUUAGGGUUGGGGCUAGGGUUAGGGUUAGGGUUAGGGUUAAGGUUGGAGCUAGGGUUAGGGUUAGGGUUGGAGCCAGGGUUAGGGUUAGGGUUAGGGUUAGGGUUGGAGUUAGGGUUAGUGUUGGAGCUAGGGUUAGGGUUGGGCUUGGAGCUAGGAUUUUUCUGAGUGCAAUGAACCAACUCCCGAGUCUCUAGGACGUUCCUAAAAAAAUUUGAUUUUUUCCCAUAGGAAUGCAUGGGUUAGGGUUAGGGUUAGGGUUGGAGCUAGGGUUAGGGUUAGGGUUAGGGUUGGAGUUAGGGUUAGUGUUGGAGCUAGGGUUAGGGUUGGGCUUGGAGCUAGGAUUUUUCUGAGUGCAAUGAACCAACUCCCGAGUCUCUAGGACGUUCCUAAAAAAAUUUGAUUUUUUCCCAUAGGAAUGCAUGGGUUAGGGUUAGGGUUAGGGUUGGAGCUAGGGUUAGGGUUAGGGUUAGGGUUGGAGUUAGGGUUAGUGUUGGAGCUAGGGUUAGGGUUGGGCUUGGAGCUAGGAUUUUUCUGAGUGCAAUGAACCAACUCCCGAGUCUCUAGGACGUUCCUAAAAAAAUUUGAUUUUUUCCCAUAGGAAUGCAUGGGUUAGGGUUAGGGUUAGGGUUGGAGCUAGGGUUAGGGUUAGGGUUAGGGUUGGAGUUAGGGUUAGUGUUGGAGCUAGGGUUAGGGUUGGGCUUGGAGCUAGGAUUUUUCUGAGUGCAAUGAACCAACUCCCGAGUCUCUAGGACGUUCCUAAAAAAAUUUGAUUUUUUUCCCAUAGGAAUGCAUGGGUUAGGGUUAGGGUUAGGGUUGGAGCUAGGGUUAGGGUUAGGGUUAGGGUUGGAGUUAGGGUUAGUGUUGGAGCUAGGGUUAGGGUUGGGCUUGGAGCUAGGAUUUUUCUGAGUGCAAUGAACCAACUCCCGAGUCUCUAGGACGUUCCUAAAAAAAUUAGAUUUUUUCCCAUAGGAAUGCAUGGGUUAGGGUUAGGGUUAGGGUUGGAGCCAGGGUUAGGGUUAGGGUUAGGGUUGGAGUUAGGGUUAGUGUUGGAGCUAGGGUUAGGGUUGGGCUUGGAGCUAGGAUUUUUCUGAGUGCAAUGAACCAACUCCCGAGUCUCUAGGACGUUCCUAAAAAAAUUUGAUUUUUUCCCAUAGGAAUGCAUGGGUUAGGGUUAGGGUUAGGGUUGGAGCUAGGGUUAGGGUUAGGGUUAGGGUUGGAGCUAGGGUUAGGGUUAGGGUUAGGAUUAGGGUGGAGCUAGGGUUAGGGUUAGGGUUAGAGCUAGGGUUAGGGUUGGGGCUAGGGUUAGGGUUAGGGUUAGGGUUAAGGUUGGAGCUAGGGUUAGGGUUAGGGUUGGAGCCAGGGUUAGGGUUAGGGUUAGGGUUAGGGUUGGAGUUAGGGUUAGUGUUGGAGCUAGGGUUAGGGUUGGGCUUGGAGCUAGGAUUUUUCUGAGUGCAAUGAACCAACUCCCGAGUCUCUAGGACGUUCCUAAAAAAAUUUGAUUUUUUCCCAUAGGAAUGCAUGGGUUAGGGUUAGGGUUAGGGUUGGAGCUAGGGUUAGGGUUAGGGUUAGGGUUGGAGUUAGGGUUAGUGUUGGAGCUAGGGUUAGGGUUGGGCUUGGAGCUAGGAUUUUUCUGAGUGCAAUGAACCAACUCCCGAGUCUCUAGGACGUUCCUAAAAAAAUUUGAUUUUUUCCCAUAGGAAUGCAUGGGUUAGGGUUAGGGUUAGGGUUGGAGCUAGGGUUAGGGUUAGGGUUAGGGUUGGAGUUAGGGUUAGUGUUGGAGCUAGGGUUAGGGUUGGGCUUGGAGCUAGGAUUUUUCUGAGUGCAAUGAACCAACUCCCGAGUCUCUAGGACGUUCCUAAAAAAAUUUGAUUUUUUCCCAUAGGAAUGCAUGGGUUAGGGUUAGGGUUAGGGUUGGAGCUAGGGUUAGGGUUAGGGUUAGGGUUGGAGUUAGGGUUAGUGUUGGAGCUAGGGUUAGGGUUGGGCUUGGAGCUAGGAUUUUUCUGAGUGCAAUGAACCAACUCCCGAGUCUCUAGGACGUUCCUAAAAAAAUUUGAUUUUUUUCCCAUAGGAAUGCAUGGGUUAGGGUUAGGGUUAGGGUUGGAGCUAGGGUUAGGGUUAGGGUUAGGGUUGGAGUUAGGGUUAGUGUUGGAGCUAGGGUUAGGGUUGGGCUUGGAGCUAGGAUUUUUCUGAGUGCAAUGAACCAACUCCCGAGUCUCUAGGACGUUCCUAAAAAAAUUUGAUUUUUUCCCAUAGGAAUGCAUGGGUUAGGGUUAGGGUUAGGGUUGGAGCUAGGGUUAGGGUUAGGGUUAGGGUUGGAGUUAGGGUUAGUGUUGGAGCUAGGGUUAGGGUUGGGCUUGGAGCUAGGAUUUUUCUGAGUGCAAUGAACCAACUCCCGAGUCUCUAGGACGUUCCUAAAAAAAUUUGAUUUUUUCCCAUAGGAAUGCAUGGGUUAGGGUUAGGGUUAGGGUUGGAGCUAGGGUUAGGGUUAGGGUUAGGGUUGGAGCUAGGGUUAGGGUUAGGGUUAGGGUUAGGGUGGAGCUUGGGUUAGGGUUAGGGUUAGAGCUAGGGUUAGGGUUGGGGCUAGGGUUAGGGUUAGGGUUAGGGUUAAGGUUGGAGCUAGGGUUAGGGUUAGGGUUGGAGCCAGGGUUAGGGUUAGGGUUAGGGUUGGAGUUAGGGUUAGUGUUGGAGCUAGGGUUAGGGUUGGGCUUGGAGCUAGGAUUUUUCUGAGUGCAAUGAACCAACUCCCGAGUCUCUAGGACGUUCCUAAAAAAAUUUGAUUUUUUCCCAUAGGAAUGCAUGGGUUAGGGUUAGGGUUAGGGUUGGAGCUAGGGUUAGGGUUAGGGUUAGGGUUGGAGUUAGGGUUAGUGUUGGAGCUAGGGUUAGGGUUGGGCUUGGAGCUAGGAUUUUUCUGAGUGCAAUGAACCAACUCCCGAGUCUCUAGGACGUUCCUAAAAAAAUUUGAUUUUUUCCCAUAGGAAUGCAUGGGUUAGGGUUAGGGUUAGGGUUGGAGCUAGGGUUAGGGUUAGGGUUAGGGUUGGAGUUAGGGUUAGUGUUGGAGCUAGGGUUAGGGUUGGGCUUGGAGCUAGGAUUUUUCUGAGUGCAAUGAACCAACUCCCGAGUCUCUAGGACGUUCCUAAAAAAAUUUGAUUUUUUCCCAUAGGAAUGCAUGGGUUAGGGUUAGGGUUAGGGUUGGAGCUAGGGUUAGGGUUAGGGUUAGGGUUGGAGUUAGGGUUAGUGUUGGAGCUAGGGUUAGGGUUGGGCUUGGAGCUAGGAUUUUUCUGAGUGCAAUGAACCAACUCCCGAGUCUCUAGGACGUUCCUAAAAAAAUUUGAUUUUUUCCCAUAGGAAUGCAUGGGUUAGGGUUAGGGUUAGGGUUGGAGCUAGGGUUAGGGUUAGGGUUAGGGUUGGAGUUAGGGUUAGUGUUGGAGCUAGGGUUAGGGUUGGGCUUGGAGCUAGGAUUUUUCUGAGUGCAAUGAACCAACUCCCGAGUCUCUAGGACGUUCCUAAAAAAAUUUGAUUUUUUCCCAUAGGAAUGCAUGGGUUAGGGUUAGGGUUAGGGUUGGAGCUAGGGUUAGGGUUAGGGUUAGGGUUGGAGUUAGGGUUAGUGUUGGAGCUAGGGUUAGGGUUGGGCUUGGAGCUAGGAUUUUUCUGAGUGCAAUGAACCAACUCCCGAGUCUCUAGGACGUUCCUAAAAAAAUUUGAUUUUUUCCCAUAGGAAUGCAUGGGUUAGGGUUAGGGUUAGGGUUGGAGCUAGGGUUAGGGUUAGGGUUAGGGUUGGAGCUAGGGUUAGGGUUAGGGUUAGGAUUAGGGUGGAGCUAGGGUUAGGGUUAGGGUUAGAGCUAGGGUUAGGGUUGGGGCUAGGGUUAGGGUUAGGGUUAGGGUUAAGGUUGGAGCUAGGGUUAGGGUUAGGGUUGGAGCCAGGGUUAGGGUUAGGGUUAGGGUUGGAGUUAGGGUUAGUGUUGGAGCUAGGGUUAGGGUUGGGCUUGGAGCUAGGAUUUUUCUGAGUGCAAUAAACCAACUCCCGAGUCUCUAGGACGUUCCUAAAAAAAUUUGAUUUUUUCCCAUAGGAAUGCAUGGGUUAGGGUUAGGGUUAGGGUUGGAGCUAGGGUUAGGGUUAGGGUUAGGGUUGGAGUUAGGGUUAGUGUUGGAGCUAGGGUUAGGGUUGGGCUUGGAGCUAGGAUUUUUCUGAGUGCAAUGAACCAACUCCCGAGUCUCUAGGACGUUCCUAAAAAAAUUUGAGUGCCAACCCAAUUUUUCACCUUCCAGAAUUGUGUUAGGAGCACGUUUCAGGGCACGGGGAGUCUAUAGAACCUAAUUCUGGGGGAAGUUUUUUGAAAAGUUUACUUAGGGUUUGGGUUAGGGUUAGGGUUGGAGCUAGGGUUAGGGUUAGGGUUAAGGUUGGAGCUAGGGUUAGGGUUAGGGUUAGGGUUAGGGUUGGAGCUAGGGUUAGGGUUAGGGUUAGAGCUAGGGUUAGGGUUAGGGUUGGGGCUAGGGUUAGGGUUAGGGUUAGGGUUAAUGAGUGCUUCCACAUCCACAGGAGCAGAUCACCAGGACAGUUUCUGUCAGAGAUUAUCAUGUUGAUUCAAUAUAAAUAUGCUGGAAAUUUAACCUUAAAGCUCCUGUGAGGAAGUUUGUCUUGUUGUCAAGACUGUUUUUCCUUAUCUUGUCCUCUACCUGCUCCCGUAGUGCCUUCUGACAGAUAAAUCUCAUCCUGCUGACCUUUGACAUUUCUUGUGAAUAUUCUAUGUGUUAAUUUAAUCUGCUGACACCCACCCCCUCUACCGGUUUAAGGCUUUAUAAAGCACCAUGUAAAAACCAUCAGUCCUGUCACUGAUGGUUUUGUUUGCUUCUGUAUAUCAUUAAGAGGCAUCAAUAUUGAUUUCAACAAACAUAAAAUAACCUUCAAAGGAGCUUUAAAGAAAAAUCUAUACAAAGACGUUUUCUGUAAAGACUUGAACACUUACUGAAAAGAUGCUGAAUUUUUAAAAGGCUGGAGCUGACUGAGUUACUGAAACCAGCAAGUGUGUUAGUUUCACCACUAGAGGGCAGCGUAUGACCAUAGGUAACACAGCUCUGACUGCAGGAGGACUCAGACUCAGAGGAAAUACAGACUACUGGUUUAAGAGGACAGAGCUCAUCAGCCGACAGAGCUACAACAAGAUGUGUGAGUGUGUGUGUGUGUGUGUGAGAGAGAGAGAGAGAGAGAGAGAGAGAGAGAGAGAGAGAGAUAAGGAGUUGUAGAUUAGUGGUUUCUGCCCUCAGCCUGUGCUCCGUCACGACCUGGACAGUUAACUUUUGGCUCUACUUCCUGAAACAUCCUCUCACACACACACACACACACACACACACACACACACACACACACACACACACACACACACACACACAGUAAACUACCUUAGCUACCUCACAUCAGUUUAUUUAAUCAGUGUCGCAUAAGUCUGAAGCGUUUCAUCCACGCAGCAGAAGAUUUGAGACUGAAAGAGUCAUUUUACCAUCAGCCAUAUGGAGUCUAUCAGGAGGAUAGGCAGGAGGAUUAUAUCUGAACACACAGAUAUGCUGCACAUGAUUUUUUAGAUGAAUAUUCAUAACAAUGUUUACAGUGAAUAAAUGAAUGUAAAUCCAUGAUAAAUCUAAGGAAUAGACGGUUAUUGGGACUCAAGGGUAUGACUCGAAUUCAUCCGAUUUUAUAGCCUAAGUUAUACUGAGUUAUAUGUGCAAAUCUGUGGGUUCAGUGCAAACAAGGACAAAUAGAAACAACAACAUACCAUUAAUGGUGCCAAUGUUGGCAAAUUAAGUCGAUAGUGGGGUUAAAUUUGAGGAAAGUAGCAGUUUUUUACAAGUUUAGGCCAGAAUACAUUGGCAUACCAGUCUAAACCCAUUCACUGAUCUGUUUACAAUUUAACUAAAGCAUGAAAAUAAAGAAAUAUCUCACACAACUCUGUCUUUUAAACCCAGUGACCUCUCAAAUCCAUUUCCUCUCCUCAAGUGUCCGGCCAAAACUGGAAACUGGAUGUCCCUCAAUUUUCUGCACUUAAAUCACAAUCAGACAGCACUGAUGGUUUGUGCCCGGAUCAAAUAACCACUAAUAUCCUCCAACAACUCAGUUUAUUCGCCACCAAUGUAAAAUCCUCCGCCAAAAAAGCCUCUAGGUCACUUUUGACAGCCUGAUUAAAUUUGACAAUCAUGUCAGGACGGCUACUUGCCAAAAUACACCCCCUGUUAUCCCUCCAGCAGUUGGAGUUGUUGUACAUGCCUUUACAUCCUCUCCUUUAGACUUCUGUAAUGCUCUCAUUUCCCAUCUGAGCCAAGAUUAACCAGAUCCAGUUAGUCCAAGACUUCUCACUAAGACCUCUUUUUGUUCACGGAUCUGGUGCCACUUCACUGGCUUCAAAUUAAAUUCAGGAUACAGUUCAAGAUCCUUCUCUUUGUGUACAAAGCUGUGAAUGGUUUAGCUCCCCAAGUAGUACAUCAGGGAACUAAUAAUGCUGUAUGCCUCUGCUCGGCCCUUCUGCUAGCUGUUUCUUGCUCAAGACUGAAAACACGAGGGGACUGCGCGUUUGUUGUUCUGGGUCCCAGAGGAAGAGGAAGAGUCUCCCUAGAGAAGUCAGAUCAGCAAACUAUUGAGUGCUUUAAGUCACACUUGAAGACAUGUCUUUGUUUUCAGUCUUUUUGAGCUUAAUUAUUCAAUCAUGAGCGGUUUAUGAUGGAUAUAUGAAGGGUGCUCUUGCAAAUGAGCAAAGGAGUUGUGAGAAAUUGGUUAAAAUUACGAAAAAAUAAUGCAAAACUUCCAAAUAGUAUUGAAGAAAUGAUCUGACAUGUCUUCUUAUUUUCAUCUUAUUAGUUUAUUUAGCAAAUGUUUAAAGAAGGGGGUGUUAUACUUAUUUUUGUAGCUUUGUAUCGUCCCUCUUAGCAGCUUCGCAUGAUUUACAAUUCAACAAAUUAUUUACGUAUUUCACCAUUUCACAAUACAAUGUGUAGUAAGUCUGUACACGUCUCAUGCUGCAUUUUGGCCUCACUUUUUUCAGCUAGCCCUCCUAUUAUCCUUGGGGUCAAUUCGACCCUUUUCAAUGUUUAUCAUUUAAAAAAUAACAGUUGACUUUUGUUUUUUUGCUUCAUAUUUCAUGACUUUUCCUAAUAUGAUGGGGACAACUGAUUUAGCAUAAAAUUAUCAUGAUGAAAUAUUUUUUAUGUGCUGUAUCUGCCUAUCUGUGUGUGUGACCUAACAUCUCCAUACCUACAGGUGCAGAGUUGAUACAUUGGAGUUGAUACAUAACAGGGAGGUGGGGAAAACAACUAUUCCCUCCAGAACUUUGAUACUUCUCGUAAUGUGGACAUCUAGGAAACUACUUGACUUGAGCUCCUGCCAAAAUAAAGAAGCCGCUGUAGGAUUGCAAGUUGAUCACACCCAAGUCUUUCCAAGUACAAAUACCUCUAAAAUGAUCAUCUCAAAUAGAAUAUUUUUAAUUGAUGGUUAUACGAAGAGCUCGAAUAAUGAACGUCUUCCAUAUGGCGGACUGUGUGUCUGGUGAGACACACUCAUAGCAGCACGUCUACCUUGCUGUUGAAGUCAGUAGAGGGACCAUAAUUUUCCAUUUUUGGUGCUACUGUGACAUUGGAGAGGGGGAAACAAUAUUCUCAUGAGAACUUUCCUGCACCAUGGGCAUGAAGGUGUGUGUGUGUAUGAGUGACCUGCUGUACUCACACAUGUCCAAGUACAGGACUGAUACUGUAUUUCCUGUGCUGUGGAGGGUACAGUAUUCCCACAAGAACAUGGGUAGUUCAUAGAAAAUAAUAAAUAUGGUUCAUUCUGGGAGAGUGAUGAAUGUGCACCCCAGAGUAGAAAAAUGUUGGAUGAAAGAUUUUCAAGAUACACUAACUCUAAAACUGAAAGUUUGACCUGAUGGUGGCGCUACAGGAAAGGUCAUUUCAUCACCAAAACCAAUAGGGUUCAUCCUCUUGUGGUCAUAAAGGUUGUCAGUGAAUUUGAGAAGAUUUGUAUGAAAACUUUUCUAGGUACAUUUAUUAUACUUUAAAAGUUUGGCCUAUUGGUGGCACUAGAGAACAGGUCAACCCAUUAAUAGGUUUCAUUCUUAAGGGGUUAUUUAUGUACUAAACAUAUAAAAAAAGGGCCUGACAAAAAAUCUUGGUCAACAACUGCAUGUAAAUCAUUUUCUGAAGGCAAAUAUACCUGGGGUCAGAUUGACCCCAAGGGUAAAACUUGUUAGUAAAAUUUGAGGAUAAUAGGAGGGCUAGAGAAGAUAAAGGCGUGUCAUACGUCUUUAUUUACACAUACUGCUAAUUUCAAGAGUCACUGGGUUAAGAUUUAGUUGAGGUAAGUUAAAAACUAACACGCCUGGUGAUGAAUAAACAACACAGGUGUUUACAUUAGAGAUUUGGAGGCUGCUGCCUUCGGAUAGAGCUGUUCACAUGCUGCUCUCUGCCCUGCAGAUGUGGGCAGACCGAGCUGUAAUGGCUGUCUCUGAGAGGUCACGACCAACGGAAUCAAACAGCACAAGCUCUCAGGACAGCCCACACAUGAGUGAAUCAGAUUUAAAUGAUUUGGUAGUGUGGACUCUAGAGAAAAGACUAACUCUCCACACACCUCAAAAAGAAGCUACUCUCUCCCUUGUGUUCAGUUUGGACCUACUGUCAGGUUUCCAAGUAGGGACUCAGAGAGACUGCAUCUGAUGCUGAGAGAGGCACAUACACUUAGGGCUCCGAUAAGAGAUGAGCUGAUCAAAUCUCUCAACACCGAACGGUGAGAGUGCCUCUCUCUCAGAGCAGAAAAAGAGGGAGAGAUAGAAGCGGCUCCAAACUGAGCUGCAGCCAGCCUCUUCACAGCAGAGCCUGGACUGUGCUGCAGGAAUAAAUGAAUGAAAGUAGUCCAUUCUGAGGCGCCCGUGUCACUCCCCAGGUGAGAUGACAGACUGUUCCUGUUGUGGUCACAUUCUCAGGGAUUUACGCAUGAAAUUUAAAUUUCUGAUUAGAU
rnacentral:lncRNA from 1 species